UCCUACGGGGGGCAGCAGUGAGGAAUAUUGGUCAAUGGGCGAGAGCCUGAACCAGCCAAGUCGCGUGAGGGAGUACUGCCCUAUGGGUUGUAAACCUCUUUUGUCGGGGAGCAAAAGGCGCCACGUGUGGCGUUCCGAGAGUACCCGAAGAAAAAGCAUCGGCUAACUCCGUGCCAGCAGCCGCGGUAAUACGGAGGAUGCGAGCGUUAUCCGGAUUUAUUGGGUUUAAAGGGUGCGCAGGCGGAAGAUCAAGUCAGCGGUAAAAUUGAGAGGCUCAACCUCUUCGAGCCGUUGAAACUGGUUUU
rnacentral:rRNA from 1 species